UGCUUAACACAUGCAAGUCGUACGAGAAAAGGGUAGCAAUACCCCCAGUAAAGUGGCGCACGGGUGAGUAAUGCAUGGGUAACCUGCCUUGAAGACCAGAAUAACCCCCCGAAAGGGGAGCUAAUACUGGAUAAGAAAGGGGGGACGAAAGUCAUUCCCUUUUAAAGGAUCCCCGCAAGGGGUAAUCGCUUCAAGAUGGGCUCAUGUCCCAUUAGCUUGUUGGCAGGGUAAUGGCCUACCAAGGCAAUGAUGGGUAGCCGGUCUGAGAGGAUGGCCGGCCACACUGGCACUGAGACACGGGCCAGACUCCUACGGGAGGCAGCAGUGAGGAAUUUUGCGCAAUGGGCGAAAGCCUGACGCAGCAACGCCGCGUGAGGGAAGAAGGCCUUCGGGUUUAAACCUC
rnacentral:rRNA from 1 species